GUCUGAUUAAAGUAGUAGGCUGUAAAUUUACAUAAGAAAUAACAAUAUUUCUAUUGCCA
rnacentral:tRNA from 1 species